rnacentral:lncRNA from 1 species
UUUUUUUUUUUUUUUUGGUCUUUUUGCCAUUUUUGGGGCUGCCCCCCCGGCAUAUGGAGGUUCCCAGGCUAGGGGUCCAAUCGGAGCUAUAGCCGCCAGCCUACACCAGAGCCGCAGCAACGCGGGAUCCGAGCCACGUCUGCAACCUACACCACAGCUCAUGGCAACACCAGAUCCUUAACCCACUGAGCAAGGGCAGAGAUCGAACCCGCAACCUCAUGGUUCCUACCCAGAUUCGUCAACCACUGUGCCACGAGGGGAGCUCCCAUACUGUCUUAAUUAUAAGAGCUUUGUAAUAAGUUUUGAUAUACAUAGGGUAAAUUACUUCCACCUUAUAACUUUUGUGAAAAACAGACUUCUAAAACUUGAUUUUUCACAAUUUCUAUCAGUAAAAUCUUAAAAGUAUUUCAAAAAUAUUCUGAUAGAUUUAUUCCUAGAUUAUUUUAAUAUCUGAAGUAUUUAGGAACAUACCAAAUAUAUUUUCUGCUUAUUUUUGGCAUGUAGAAAUGUAAUUGAUUUUUGUAUAUUAAUUUUGUAUCUAGUCACCACAAAGACUUUUACAAAUUCCAGUGAUCAAUCUUCUAACUUUUUUUACAAUUUGGAAAACAAUGCCAUUUUUAUUUUAUCCUUUUCAGACCCUAUAUCUGUUACUUACUUUUCUUUUAUUACUACAUUCUCUAGGUCAUUAUUAUCAUGAAGUAUGAUUAUAUUUGUUCUAGUUUUGUUUUGCUUUUUUUGGAGGAGGGAGUAUACAUACCAUUUAUGAAAGUGGGAAAUGGCUUUCCUUUUUUGUAUAUCAAUGCUUUUGGUUUUGUUUUAUCCUACUGAAUAUUAGACUUUAUGAAAUUUUAUCUAUGCAUUUGAUUUUUCCCUUUAAUCUGUACAUGUGGCAAACUGUACUAAGUUAAUUCCUGAUUAGCCAAACAUCUAAUAGUUGAAACACAAAAGUUCCAAUCGGGGGCUGGUAAUUAGGUUACAAGAUCUUCUUCUCUCCUCCACAGAGCCAUCUAGAGACACUCUGACAGUGACCCUUUAAUCUUCAAUAUAUGGCUUCUAUAUAUGUAUAUAUAUACACCUAGAGACACUCUGCCAGCAUGUGUUGAAAGGGACAGAGAGAAGACAAAAUGAAAACAAGAUCAUCAGAUUCUCCAAACCCUAUAUACAGGAAACAGGCUUAUGAAACUACUCAGCUUCAGGUAUGUUCAACCUUAAUUACAAUUAUUUUUAAAUCAUUUGAUAAAUAAUUCUUGCUUGACUGUUUCUUUUGUUUCAGCAUUUUAAAGAAGUCAUUGUAUUGCUUUCUUACUCAUGGACUUUGGACAAGAAAGGUAUAGUCAUUUUUACCCAUAUUCCUCUGUUCAUAAUGUGUCCAAGCAGAAUUUUAAUCAGUAUCUUUACCUUCUUUCCAAAAUUUUGAAUACCCACACCCUUUCUAAUUCUUUAUGUUCCUUGUGCUGUUGUGUAUUUCAGUACUGUUUUAUGUACUUAUUUUUACUCCUUAUGACAUUAGUAUUGUUGUUUUAGAAAGUGUUUAUCUAGACUCACCUGUAUAUUUCUCAACUAAUUCGCUUUCUAUUCCUGUUUUUAUCAUAGACCUCCUAUUUGCGAUCACUUUCCUUCUGCCAGAAAUAAACUAGAAUUUUCUGUAGUAGGUUUGUUUGUGACAAUCGCUCUCAAUUUUUAUUUGUUUAAAAGCAUUAGUUUGCUCUUUCUCUUGAAAUAUAUCCUCAGUUUUCAAUUAUUUCCUUUAAGAACAUUGUACAUUGAAUUUGCUUUCUUCUGUCUUGAAUUUUUUUGAGAAGGCCGUUGUUACUGCAAUUGUCAGUUUUCUCAAGUUAAUCUGUCCUUUUUCUCUGGCUGUUUUUAAAAUAUUUUUUCUUUGUCUUGGUGUCUGGAGUUUUAACUUUGAUGUGUCUGGAUGCAUUUUUAUUUUGUAUUCUUACUUAGGAAUAAUGGUAUUUUGCCCCAGUGCACUCUUUAAAGAGCCUUGAGCCUAAAACAAAUAUUAAGUAGUCAUAAUUUAGUUGGAAAACAAUACCCUGGAAUGAAAAGAGUGAGGGAAAAACAAAGUGAGGCAGGAGAGGAUAGCAAACAAUGCAAGAUGAUGCAUCAUCGUUCUGGCAUCAGAUUCCCACGACGUUGCAAUGUGAGACAGCCAGUAGUUCAGCAGGUAUGUCUGCUCAGGCACUCAGGACAUCUCCAGACUGGCUAGAGGGGAAAAUAGUGCCUUGGAGCAGUGCCUUAGAGAGGAGGAAGCAAACUGUACAGAUAGCUCCUAUUUCUUAUAUCUCAUUGGUCAAAGUUUGCGCUACUUACAGUUUAAAUCAUCCAACUGCUUUGAAAUGAGCUUAAGAGGCCAGAGCACUCAUCCUGCUACAGUACAGUGGCUCAUACAGGUCAGAAGCCACAGAGAGAGCCAGAGGCUUCAUGAGCAGUCUGGCUAUGCCAUGACAGCCAAAAGCUGAGGGGCUGGUAUUUCCAAGCGAGUAACUGGCUCUCCAGUCAGUAACUUGACCUGAGUCCACCCAGUGUCUAUCAGCUGCAGCAGUGGGUGAAGAAGAGCGAAGGGAGGUACACAAGGCUGAGACUGUCCAGGGAAAUGCACCAAAAUGUUUCUGACAAAUACCGCUGGUGGUUCAGUGGGUUCAGGAUCUAGUGUGGUCACUGCAGCAGCUCUGGUCACUGCUCUGGCACAGGUUCAGUCCCUGGCCUGGAAACAUACACAUGCUGAAAAUGAAGCCAAACAAACAAACACGCAAAAAGUUCUUUCCACAACUGGAGUUCGUGGAGUUCUACCGUAGGCAGUGUCAUCCAUUAGUUCUGGAAAAUUCCCUACCAUUAUUAUCUCAACUGUUACCUUUACCGGGUUUGCUUGUUCUAUGUCUCCGUCUGUGUCUCUCUCCCUCUCUCCUUUGGAAAACCAAUUAAAGCUUGUAUUAGCAUAUCUCUUUCAAAUUUUCCACUUUUUCUCAGGGUUGCAUUCUGAAUAAUUUCCUCAAUUCUAACUCCCUGUACACUAAUUUUUCUCUUUCCUAAAAUCAUCCCAAAUGACUUUAUUCAAGUAUUUAUAUUCAAUUUUUAUAACUAUUAUUAUAUUUUUAUUUCUCAAAGUUCUAUUUACAUCUUUAUAAAAUCUGCUUGGUCAUUUUUUAUUUACUCAAUUUUUUUUUUACUAAUGCCAAUUUUUAUUAUUUAAUUGUUAUUAUAUAUGUUUAGUUUACAUUAUGGAAGUAUAAAAGUUUCAUACUUACCACUCAUAAUUACAACUUCUGGCAUGUUUCUGUAUAUAUUUUUCUCUUUGUUUUUGCUGUUGCCUCUCACUCACAUACCUUGCUUUGGGGGUUUAAAAAAGAAAUGUUAUAAAUAGAGCUCAUGCUUCUUGGAAUUUAUCUGUGAAAUUCUUUGAGGCUUGAUAUGAAGUUGUGGGUCACUUAUUUCUUCAAGGGACCUGGGACACUGUAAGCCCAGAACCACUUAAGAUAUUUUUUGUUUGUUCAUUUUGUUUUGUUUUGUUGGACCAAUUAAUUAAUAUGGAUUUCUGUUGCAAACCUGUGGUGAGUGAUGGCUUGUAGCACUUAAUUCUUAAGGAAUUUUUUUUUUCCUAGUCCAAGGUUUGUUAUACCACUUUUCACUUCAGAUCCACAGUGAGAGGAAUGUUAAGCUUAUCAUUAGGCGUAUCUAUAGUUCAUUAAGUUGAGAGUAGGUAUUUUAAGUGCCAGUUUUAGGAGUGCUCCCUUUAAGUUCUCUUCAUUGAAAGAGACCUUGGUUUUGUCUGAUGUCGCUCAAGCCCCUAAACAACCAUAAGAACCAAAGUUUAAAUUUACUUAUGCCCGCAGGCCAUAUGCCAUCUUCGGUGUUCAUCUUUUGAAGGGAGUAUUGUGCACUUUCUCCCCAAGUUACUGAGACACUGAAAAUUUUUUUAAUAUUUCUUGAGCAUGUUUAGUUGUUUUCGGCCAGAAAGUAAGCAAGUCAGGGCUCCUAAAAUACGUCAUCCCACGAAUUGGAAAUCAACCUUACUUCAAAAUAGCGUAUUUGCUGUCAUAAAGGCAAUGAACUAACCAGUAAACACUGUGCCUUCUGUCUAUAUUUGGUGAGGUUAUACCAUUUUAAGCAUUAGAGAAAGGAGAUCUUUCAGGUUCUGCAAGAGCAAUGUCUAGUCCAUUUAGGUUACUGCAAUCCUUAGAAAAAAAAUUUUUUUUCUUGACUCAAGGUAGAGCAACGGAGCUUGAAGAGGGCAAGUUAUUUUUUAAAGAUGAAUUUAAAUAUAUAUAUAUACAUAUAUUGGAAAAAGCCCAAGUAAUGAAAUGGAAAAUCCCAGUCAACCUCCAGACACACUCAUAUCCACCUAACGAGAAACAAUUGCUCACUUGAAAAUUACAUUUUCUCAACUUGCAUAAUGAUUUCCCAUGAACGAACUACCACAACCUAAUUUUGCAGUGGCACAGUUGAUUCCUGCAUUGCAUCCAAGUGAGUCACUCCUCAUAAGGUAGGCAAAAGGCUUCAAGUUAAAACACCAUGACCAACAACAGCUCAGAAUGGAUUUAAUUGCAAGAAUGCAGUUGUUUACUCUAGAGAUCCUGUCCCAAUGUCUUUAAAGGAAAUGAGGUUUAUUUUCUAUGUAUCCAUACCUAUGAAAGGUAGCAAACUUAUUUGAGAUGGCAAUCCAUAACCAAUGCUUAACAAAAAAGAUAUUGCAAAAGUACCCAAUAUAACCUAUUAACUCCUAAUAAGUUCUUUUUUAAAAAAUAACUCUCCAUGAAAACGUGAGCCUUCCAAAAAAAAGGUGAUGUGUAAAAUGUCAUGUUAAUAGUUUUACUGUCAUAAAAUUUACUGUACCUCAGUGGGUAGCCUAGUUUCCCAGAUUAAUCAGUCUAUUUUGUCAUAAUGUACCCACCUUGAAAAGAAAUGUCAUUGACGUGAUAAAAAUUAUCUCACCAAAGUAGGAAUCAAGUACUUUCCAUAAAACAUUAAUGCUAAUACCUUAGUUAUUGCUAAUUAGAAAGUAAAUUCUACAUUAUACUCACUUUGCUUGGUAAAUUUGUAUCUAAGGGGAACUAUCCCAAACCUUGCAGAAUGUUGUCUUUCUUACUUUGGUUGCCUUUAUGAUUGAAUGCUUUUAUUUGGUGCUCACAAAAUACUAGAUAGUUGGAUCAGAUUUUGUAACUUCAAAUGAUGACAGAGAAACAUUUGCCAAACUGACAACUGCAAAGCUUUUGUAAUGUUGAAAACACCUA